rnacentral:sRNA from 1 species
CUUCUCAAAAAUCGUUUAGCGUAUCAGGCUAUCUUGUAAGAGAUGGCCUCUUCCCUUU